rnacentral:ncRNA from 1 species
UGUCUUCGGGGCGGGGUGAAAUUCCCCACUGGCGGUAAUGCGGCGUUUGCCGAUGAGCCCGCGAGCGUAAGCUGAUUUUGGUGCGAUCCCAAAGCCAACGGUAUAGUCCGGAUGAAAGAAGC